rnacentral:rRNA from 1 species
AGUUUCCCGUCAAAUCCGACGAUCCAAUCGCCGGGCUGCGGGAAAUACUGCCAAGCUAGGAGGCGGGAGAGGCCGGCAGUACUUUCGGGGUAGGGGUGAAAUCCUAUAAUCCCGGAAGGACUACCAGUGGCGAAGGCGGCCGGCCAGAACGCGCUCGACGGUGAGGGACGAAAGCUGGGGGAGCGAACCGGAUUAGAUACCCGGGUAGUCCCAGCCGUAAACGAUGCGGGCUAAGUGUCGGGAUGGCCAUAGAGCCGUCUCGGUGCUGCAGGGAAGCUGUUAGGCCCGCCGCCUGGGGAGUACGGCCGCAAGGUUGAAACUUAAAGGAAUUGGCGGGGGAGCACCACAAGGGGUGAAGCUUGCGGUUUAAUUGGAGUCAACGCCGGGAACCUCACCGGGGGUGACAGCAGGAUGAAAGCCAGAUUAAAGGUCUUGCUGGACUAGCUGAGAGGAGGUGCAUGGCCGUCGCCAGUUCGUGCCGUGAGGUAUCCCGUUAAGUCGGGCAACGAGCGAGACCCACACCUCUAGUUGCCAGCGGGUAUAGCCGGGCACUCUAGAGGGACCGCCGCCGAUAAGGCGGAGGAAGGAGUGGGCCACGGCAGGUC